CACACAUAUAAGCAGUGAAAAACAUUUUUAGUAAACUGAAAUGAAAUAAAAACUAUAUCCUAUAAAACCGCCAGGGGUCGCUGUAUACCUCAAACCACCAACAGGUCAAAUUUACCUGCUAUUAGAAUGCAUUAACUUUCAAGGUACAAGGUUCAUUUAUUUAUCACUCUACAGCACAGGAUUGUAAAACAAAAUGCUAUAGUUGUAAUCCCUUUAUGCUAUUCAGCAAUACAGUCACAAUCAACUGAGGACACAUCGCCCAGUCCUGAAACCUCCAUCAGACUCUACUUCACUCAAUGCAUCGAGCACGUCUAAGGCCUGAUGAAGCCUCAUUCAUAAAUCUCUUUCUCUUGUCCAUAGUGAAGGUUAGCCUCUGAUGCAGCUCUAUCACGCACAGUAGUAGGCAAAAAGACGUUGCCAUAGCAACACAGAAUGUUGAUCUAAACGUGCAAAAUUAAUAGCGUGAAAAUGACUGCAUUAGGGGUAAGUUAUACCCGCUGACGCUUAGGUAUAAAUAGUCAAUUUUUUUAAUCUGGCUUUAUCUUGACAAUUUUCAACAAUAAGAGGUGCGACAUAACACAUUUUUAGGAAAGGUCACAGACUGUGGGACUUUCGUGGGAUAUUUUAUUGAAACAAAGUUACAAUCGAAAAACAGCAGCGUGUAAAUUUUACCCGUUCUAGUGUUAAGAGAAAUUAAAACUAAACUGAAACGAUAUUGCCUGGGUAAAAAAACUAAAACGAAUGUAAAUUCAUUUCAGUUUUAUUUUUUUUUAACUAUAAUAGAUCACUACCGAAAAAUGUAGACAGUAUGAAUUUCCGUCAACUCUUGUGACAUUGAACAACAGAAAUUGAACAGACUUGACCUUCCAGGAGAUGGCGCUAUGUCGCAAUCACUUCACAACGGACACUUAAAGGUCCAGUGUGAAGAGGACCUGCUCCCUAAGUAGAUAUGAAGGACUCAUUCUAAGGCCACUGGAUCACAACAACAACCAGGUCAGCUGCCAGUCAAAACCAAUCACAAGCUUGAGUCCAGAACCAGAGACCCUCUGGCCAUAAUGACCUGAUGACCUCUUUGCCUUCUGGGUCAGAGGCUGGCGGUCAACCUCAGCAUCUAACAAACUCAUGAUUUCACAGAUAAGCUGACGACAACAUACUGGUGUCACGCAGAUGUGCAGGCCAGCUACCAGCAGCUGCAGUAUACCAGAGACACCACACUGUGAUUGCUACCAACUCUUAUUGAUCUGUAAUGUGCAAGGUUAUUAAAUGAAAAGUACUUCUAGUUUUGUAUGAUGCGAUGUUUAGUCUCCUGUACUCCUGUCUGAAUUUUAACAUUUGAUGCCAUAACUCUUUUGUGGAUUUUCUUGCUCAGG